UUAUUGUAGUGUAAGAUGCAGCUUAUAAAUUGCGAGAUAUGUAGGUAAGCAAUAAGAAAAGGAUAGGAACCUGGGGGAGUUCGAGGGCGUCGAGUAGGGCGACGACAUCGCCGACGAGGUGGAAAAGGGUGUAGGAGUUUACCGACGGCGGGGCCGACGUGUCGCCGUACCCGCGGAGGUCCGGCGCGAUGGCCCGGAAGCCGCGGGCGGCGAGCCCGACGAUCUGGUGCCGCCACGAGUACCAGAGCUCCGGAAAGCCAUGCAGGAGCAGCACCGCCGCCGCCGCAUCGUCGCCGCCCUUCUCGGCGACGUGCACGGCGAUCCCGUUGAUCUCGACCGUCCGAUGAACAAUCCCUUCCAUGUAUCUAUAGAUCCUUGAUCUCUUUGAUCUCUCUCACUCUCUCUCUAUAGUAGUGUAAUUUUGUGUACCUCUCAAUACAAUACAACUCUGUGUGGCUUUAUAUAGCGUCUGUGCGCGCAUUUAUUAGUAAAAGUCGUCCAAAAUAUCCGAUAUUUCAUACACAAUUCGAACCCUAUUUGAACCCGAACCGAGCCUAAUAAAAGAUGGAUACUAUACAAGUAAAAAAAAAUACCUAUUAAAAUUUCGAAUAUGGGUCCAGAUACUUUAUAUUCACAUCCGACUUGCAUCCGACCUGAACCGAACCUUUUAAUGGAUAGGGUAUGAAAGAGUUUUCAAAUCCGGAUCCGGAUAUGAUGAAAUACCCGAUAGUAAAUAAAAAAAGUUUAAAGUUGAGGGAACAAUUUGAAUAGAAUUUAUAGAUGAAGAGUCUCUGUAUAUUUUCAUGCUAGUGAAAAUUUUAGUUAUUCUGUUUACACGUCUUUUAUAUUUUUAUUUUACCCCUUAUUUUUAUAGACUAUUUUUAUAUGCAUAUGGGUAUUCAUAUCCGAUCUAAACCUGAUUCAUACCCUGUCUAUGUCCGAUCUUAAGCAGAUAGUAUAUGGGUAGUCAGUAUCCAAACCCACUCAAAUAGACCGGCCCGAUAGGUAUAUUACUAAUUUAAAUAUCCAGAUUCAGGCCCAAUCCAAAAUUAAAUGGGUAAAUAUAUAUAUAUUAUUUUUACCCAUUUCUUUUUAGGAUAUGGAUACAGUAUAUCAAUUACUCAAACCCCAUCCAGUCCAUAGACACCUUUACUUUUUUUGGGUGUAAAAAUGUAUAGUGACCCCUCCACUAUAGCCUAUUUUGAAAUGGACCCAGCCCUAUUAAUUAUUGUUAAAUAAAAACUAUAAAAUUUAUCUAAACUAUGGACCAUUUUGAUUUGGAUAUAUACGAAGUAACUGGAUGAUAUUAUAAUGAUUUUUAGAUUUUCGUAAUAAAAGGGUGUUACAAUUUUGGAUAUGCUUGUCUGAUCAUGGUCUCCCUAUUGAACCCAGCAUUUAUGGAUUACGACUAAUUAAUUAAUAAAUAAAUAAGUAGUCAUCUUCUUCUUUUGACAUGGAGGUUAGAUCUGCUUGUCCCUGUAGGCUGCAGUCUCAUUGCGGAAAAAGUCUAGAAUACAACAGUUAUAUUACUGAAGUAGCGCUUUCAACCAAUCAGAUCCAUCCCUUUGGAUUCACCCAUCCUAUCAUAGUUAUUAAAAAAAAGGGCAAUUGCGCAUAUAUAGGGAUACAUUUUCCGGACCGAAACGGAGUAGCGGUCGGCCAGGCCCGGCCCGGUUUCAAUUUCGGGCUGUGCCGGGCAAGGCCCGAGUUGCCUAGCCCCUCCCCGGCAUAGCCCUUUCGGCGCGAAAGCACGAGCCAUGCCUUGGGGCCCGCCUUCUUAAAAUAUUUAUUUUUUAAAAAAAAUUUAAAAAAUUAGUUUAAAUUGAUUAAUUAUGUAAAAUUUAUAAAAAAUAAAUUAAAUAAUAAAUAUUUAAUUUUUAAAAAUAAUAUAUUUGUAUUUAACGGAGGCGGGGCGGCCCGGGUUUUUCGGGGAGGUAGGUUUUCGGGGAGGAGGGUUCUCGAAGGAGACGCCGGGAAGGAGGGGGGGGGAGGAGUCGGCAGGAGUGGAGGGGGAUGGCGACGGGUGGAGCCGCUAGGUUUUGGGGCCGAGGCCGAGGACCUUGGGUCUGGUGCAGGGCCACGAGGGGCGAUGGGGCGGCCUCGGGACCGGCGCCGGGACCGUGGGCAGAGGCGCCGCGCUGGAGGCGCAAUGGGCGCCUCUCCUCCCAAGGUUAAAGCCUUUGGCGGGGAAAGCUCUUGCCGGGAGCUCUCGUGGGGAGGAAGAGGGCUUCCCUCCUCCCGAGGAGCAUAGGCCCUGCCUUGGGCCUUGGGGAUUCAGGCUGUGCUGGCCCGGCUGGCGCGGCCCAAAAUGGGCCGUGCCUUGCAGGGCCGCCCGCCUCCCCUCGACCCGGCACGUACGGCCCAAGCCCGUUUCGAGCUGUGCCGUGAAAGAAGCAGCCCAGCAUAGCCUAGAGGCUCGGGCCGGGGCGGCCUGUCACAGGUGUUACAGUACCUGUGCCAUGCUAUAGCCCGGCCCGAGGCGCCAGGCGGCCCACGUGCCGCUCGGCCUGUUUUACACCCCUAUGUAUAUACUUAAGAAAAGUUUCCGACUUUCUGAUUUAUCCUUUCUAGAAGGCUAGUAUUAAAAAAUACUCUUUUUUCAUUCCAACUUAGUUCAAAUAUACUUCUAGAAUUAAAUUCUGUUAAUAAACGGUUAGCAAUACUUGUUAUCUCUAUGAAAUUACUAUUUUGCCCUUUCAAAUAUACCUUUCUGCCAUCACCGACUUUUCUUAUUUGCCCUUAAGUUAGAGGCACAAAAAAAUAUUUUGAUUUUUGAUCUAUUAAAAAAUAGCCUACUAUCAUAACCAAUAUUUCUUAUUUGCCCUUAAGUUUAAGGACAAAAGCGUUAUUUUAAUUUUUUAACUCUGAUAGAUAGUUAACUCACAUAUAACUCAAAUUAACUCAACGAAUGAUAACUGAAGGGAUAUUUUGAAAUAACGGAAAAACAUACGAGGAGUCUAUUGGGAAAAAAAAAAAGAAUAAAUAAGAUAUUUUCAAAAUUUUGAGAGAUAUAUAAACAAUUAUUUUUAAAAAAUAUAUAUUUUUAUUGUGCUCUAAAAAGAAGAGAUAUAAUUUGUUGGAAAUAAAUAAUGUUGUUGUUGUUGUUGUUGUUGUUGUUGUUGUUGUUUCGAAACCUAACUUCGGAAAGGACGAAGAAGAUGAUUAGUAAUAGUCCGCGUGAAUCCGGUAGUAAUUCAUGUAUGCAUUGAUUAACUAGAAUCUUGGUCCAUAUUUAGAACUUUAUUUAAAAAACAAGCCAAUCAUAAGUUGGUAGAUUAAUUGCAUACAGGUUUCUACAAAUACAGUGAAUUUCAAAUAUAUUUCUAUAAAGUUCAACUUUUAUAUAUUGUUUCUGUAAAAAUCAUAAUAUUUUCAAAUAUAUCCCUGCCGCUAAAAUCCGUUAGAAAAAAUUAGUUAACCAUAGUUUAAAUAUUUAAUCCUAAUUAGUUAAUGAGAUAAAUUGGCCUUUUUAUAGGGACAAUAUAUAAAAGUUGAACUUUGUAGGGCCGGAUAUAUUCGCAAGCCACUAUGUUUGCAGGGACCUAUAUGAAAUCGACCCUUGUUUUAACUACAUGUUUAUUAUCCUUCUAAUUUUAACUGCAUAGACUCUGCCACUCGGAGCCUGCUGUCGCCGCUCACCCUGUCGCGGCAUGGACGACCUAUCCUCCUGGCGGUAACUCGGUGCUGCUCUGUAAGUCUGCUGAGGUGCUGGUGGAGCUGAAGCUGAUGAUGGUGCUGGCAAUGCUGCUCGGGGACAAGCUGCCCUCAUGUGUCCCGGCUGACCACACCCGUAGCACCGGCCCUCCCUCUGCUCACACUGUCUGGGCCAGUGUGGUCCUCCGUAGAUCACACACUCCUGCGUCCUCUCAGGCUGUCCCCUCUGACGAGAGUCCCUAGAUCGCUGACGCCCCGAGAACCCACGACCUUGUGAACGCGAUCGUAGAGGCCUCUGCGGACGCCUGCUACUCGACUGACCUCCGUCGUCUGGAGCUGGGCGCUUCCUGUCCUGACUCUGUCCAGGCCCCUGAGCCCUCUCCCGCAGCGACACCUCUCCUCUCUCCUCCCAUAAUGCCUGCUCAAUGGACGCAUCCAAAGUCCUCGACCUCUGCGCCCUAACGAACCUGAAUAGGUCGGGUCUCAAACCCUGCUCGAACAAAUAGACCCUAUGUGCCUCAUCUCUGGCCACGAACGGAACACAGUUCAGGAGUCUAGUAAACUCCCGAACAUACUCCUGAACUGUCCGCUCGCCCUGCUGGAUCCUCUUCAAGUCAUCCUCAAUUUUUUGUUUCAUGCUGUUGGAAAAAUACAUCCCAUACAGGAUUCCACAGAACUCAUCCCACCUCAGCUGCGCCGCCACCAGUCCCUGGUCUCACCUCGCUCUCCGCCACUAAUCACGUGCAUCACCUGACAAACAGUGUACUCCCAGUGAUACCUGCUCCCCCUCUGGAACGAACAGAUCCUCAAAUAACCUCUCCAUCGCACUGACCCAUCCCUCAACAACCCAGGCCUCAGUGCCGCUGCCAUCGAAGAUCGGUGGGUCAAAUCGCCGAAAACGAGCUAACCUCUCCGUCCACCGCUCCUGCUCGGCCUCAGUCAACGGUACUGGCCCCCUAGCAGGCGCAACUGGCGCUACUGGAACUGCUGCCGACGGAGGAACUGCUGCAGCUGGUGCGGUCACUGGAGUAGUCGGGGGUGGCACUGGCGACUCUGGUACUCUCGGUGCUGAACUCGGUGGCUGAGCUAUCCUCUCACACAACCUCUGCAAUAACUCCCCCUGCUGCCUCGUCACCUCAGUCAGGGCAGCCAACUGUGCACUCAGAUCAGGGGAUGCGCCAGCCUCAGGUCGCGCACUCGGCUCUACAACAGGGGGUGCACUCGCCUCCGGUCUGUCACUCUGCUCCUGCCGAGCACUCUGCUCCAUCUGCUCAGGUCUCUCAGGGGAUCCCGCACGAUCCCGCGCCAACUGGGCACGCUCUCGCAACGACGGUCGACCUCGGCGACGAUACAUAGCUGAAAGGAACAAAUCGGGGUCAGAUACAACGCAACACUCUCGACCCAAUCAACGAAAGUCUAGAAGGCGGUCCCUGUUUUCCUCCAAAAUUAUGUCGUCUGCAGCCAACAUAAUUUCUCAGGCCAAAACAGAAACUCCUUCAGUCACUCACUCUACUCUAAGAGGAGUUAAAACAAAUAAUCAUUGACUUUCGCAAUAAAAUUACGCCUCUCACGUCUUGCUUCCCUAAGGUUUGCCAAACUUAGGUUUCCUAGGUCCCAACGACCUACAGCAAAGCUCUGAUACCAACUUAAUCUGUCACGCCCCGGAUUACACGUUCCCCGGGCACGCCGACAGAUCCGCCGUAUACAAAGAAAUUUUCCCUGUAUACGAAGCGAUAGCUGUACCUGUAAAUCAAACACUACUACGAACAGUAGUAGAGAGCUGCUAGAGAAAACAGAAGCUAAAUAAAACAGAGUUUCAUAUACAUAGUUCAGAUCCAAAAUACAGAGCUACUCGCACUGGCGAGUUAAGUCAACUAUGUACAUAAACUCGAAACAAAACAUCUACCUGCAGUAGGGCACCUCUAGCUCAGCACGUCGGGUAGGGCUCUAACUCGCGACGCCCUUGCCUCGAUCCUGGUCCGCAGACGGUGCAGCAGCCGGAACCUGUGGCUCUGCAAAAACAUAGGUAACAACUGGGCGUGAGAACUACUGUAAAAACAAGUAGUCCUCAGUGGGUACCGCCCAAAACAACAUCGGUCACCCACUAAGUCUACAGAAGGGAGCAAGGAUAGAAGGAAAGCAGGAAGCAUACUCUACCGCUAUCAUCCACUACACUAUCAUGCUCUACACUAACCAACUGUAGGAAAUGUCAAAUCUGACCCAAUCCAAUCGGGACUGUAAGCAUACCCGUCCCCGGGACUGUGAAUACACCCGUCCCUGCCCCGUUGCGACUAUCAGGCUCUAUCCACACUAACUGGUCCGUGGAGAGCAAGUCCAACUGGCAUGAGCGACACCAACGCGAAAGCACAAGCCUGACUCCGGAGUGGCACUCGUGGGCGCUACCCAACCGAGUAUGCAGCGUAUCUCUGUCGAGCUCAAACAGGCUCUGAAAAGCCAAAGUCAAGAAAUCGACUCUAACUGGUCUAACAACCAACAAGUAACGUGCCCUCAGUACAACCUGACGCCAAAAAGGCGAUACGAGUCCACCGUCAACUCCGACGGCACUCAACAGUCCGGAACAGCCUGAACGCUACUGUAAAAAUUAUACUCGGCAUCCCAGCACGAGCGUAACUGAAAACUAAAUUACCUGAAAUACUCACUAUGAGGAUACUACAAUAGUAUAAAAUAAUACAACGGCCCCUAUGGCUAAAUCAGGUAGUUUAACAUAUGCCAAGUCCCAAACGCUGGUUUUCUCCUAAGUUUAAUUUCAAGUCCAACAUGUAUAUUUAUGGUUACAAGUCAUGCCCUCAAGCUAAUUUCAUUCAUUAUACAAUCGACGAAAUUGAGCUACCACAUGAUUUACAAAAACAGAAAAUCAUACAUGUCGACUACUAUAAUACUUAGGAAUAAACCGAUGUAACCCACCUCAAACGCUAAUCACAAUCCGGUGCGACAUCAAAAACGGCAGAAUCGGACCCUCGCCCGGCCUCCCCACGCAUCAACUACGACGCUCGUGUGCUCGAACGGCUCCCCGGCGCGACGUCGGCGUCGAUCCGAACUCGAUCUGCGAUCUCCACAAAGCCACGCUCAAUGUCUGAGAUGAAUACAAGAUAAUUAAUUAUCUCUCUACAAUGGCUACCUAUAUAUAUAUAGGUUGAGUUGGUGGGGUGAAUAACCAUUAACAACAAAAUUACAGUAAUACCCCCACCAACUCAACCAAGGGUAUUACAAUAUAAAGUUUCAAUUAUGAUUGCAAUAUCAUGUUUUAAUUUAUUGUAUCUAUACUCUUAUUUUGAUCGGACAUAACAUAAAAAUUAAAUAAUCAUAAUUAUUUUAGAUUAUUAAAAUUUGGCACUAAGUUGUUGAAUUAAUUUAUUAUUUUGACUAGUUAGUGCAAGCCAAAGCGGCUAUAAUUAAAAAAAAUAAUGACUUAAUUUUCUUUAAAGAAGCGUUUCUGGAUAAUUUUAUAUUAAUUAUACAAUACUAAGUCAGAUUAAUUUACUGCUUCAACUGUUCGGGUACAAGUCAAAACAGCCUCAUCGGAAAAAAGAAUAAAUUAAUCGUAUUAAAAAAGUAUAUGUAAAAAUUGCAUCCUAAUAUUAUAUUCAGUCUGCUCCCAAAGAAGAUCUAGAUAUAAAGGUAUAUAGGUGGUGUAAGAUGGUAAUUUUCUUAUAACUCGUCUGAAGGAAUUUGACUGACCAAAGCAGAUAAUUUUUUCAUUGGAAAACUUGAAAUUAUCACGACCUGCAGAAAUUUUAAUUAAUAUCUGAUAAAGAGAUUGUAUAUUUAUACUUAUAAUUUUGCUCCCAAAGAAAGGGUUAUGAUGUCGUAUAAAAUGUAUGCAUAAAGAAUGGAAAAUACUUAUACUCAUAACUCUGUUCCCAAAGGAGUUGUUUUGAUGUCAUAUAAAGUAUAUUUUUCUAAUUUUAGUAUAGUAAUAUUUAGAUGUGAUAUUUUAUUAAUAAAACAUGCAUUUUAUUUUAUAUUUCAGUUAUGAGUUCAUCUUUGUUUCUAUUGGUGAUUAUAUUCUUAUGCUUAAUUUACUCUGAAUAGAAAGAACAGAUCAUAGCUACAUUAAGGUGAAUGAAUUUUGAUUUGACUCUAAAAGACGAUAAACCUACUCCUCUUACAUAUAAAAGUACGCAAAUCCAAAUAGUAUUUUCAGAAAAAUAGGAACGCUCUAAUCCGCUUGUUUAAUGUUGAUGAAGGCGCAUGUCAGUAAAAAUUAAUAUUCGAAAUUCAAUUCCAAAAUGUGAGACAGCUUGCGAUUUCUUAAAUGUUAUGGAGCAACAAUUUACAAGCUUCAAUAAAACUUUGACAAGCACCCUAAUGAAUAAACUAUCUUCUAUAAAGUACACCGAAAAUUGCUCAAUUCGCGAUCAUAUUUUGGAGAUGCUGUUGGAUUUUAUUGGAUUUUUGUGAUUUAAAAUUUGUUAGGCCUCUUGGGCAGCCCAAUAAUUAAUGGGCCUUGCUUGGGAGCCAACUAAAGUUUUUAUGUGUAAGGUUUAGUCCCACGUUGAAAACUAAAAAAUUGUUGUUGGUAUAUAUAUAUUCAUUUAUUCUCAAGCUAGUUGUUUGGCAGAAAAUGAGAGUUAUACUCUCAUUUAAAGACACGCACAAGCACGAGCCGAGGCGGACGGCGGCGGUCCAUACACCCGUUUUAUUUUAUUUUAUUUUUAUUUUUUCGGUUUUAUCUUAAUCCUAAUCCUAAUCCUUACCUGUAUAAUCUUAGGCUUAUCUUGUUCUACACGGAUUUGACGCGUUGAAUAAAGAUUCUCGCCUUGCUUAUAUAUAUUGGAGGAGAUUGCGUGGGUUCAACAAAAACCCGAGCAUACCUAAAAGCUAAUCACUACCUCAUCUAGUUUACAAGGUCAAUCAAGUAAUUAAACUCCCAAAUACUUCUUUUUUAAGAAAAAAAGAUCAUAUGCAGAAGGGCAGCCAAAAGUAUCAAAAAUGGCUCUAGAAAAUGGAUCAGUUUCUAAUUUCGAUGUGUAAAUUGCAUUUAGUUACUGUUCCAUCUUAUAUUUGAUGUAUUGACUCGGGUGCCACAUGCUAUGUUGUGAAUUCCGUACAGAGAUUUUAACCCAAACAACAAAGCGUGACGGUGGAAGUUGAUCACAAUAAUUCAAAAAAUUAGGUCAAAAUUUGGCAGGAAAACUCUCAAAGUUGCCUUUAUUGAACUCUCAAAGACACAACAGUACUUCACAUCAAUGCUGUUUGAUUAUGCAGAACACAAACUAAUUAGUCUCACCCAUUCACGAUGGAGAAGCACUUUUGAAAGGGCUACUAAAUUAUGCACUACUGGAACUUCUUGAUGAAGCUGCAGAUGUGAUCAGUUACUUCCUCUGGCCUCUCCUGCUGGAUGAAGUGCCCAACUCCCUCCAAAACAACUACUUCCUCAAGCAAGGGGACAUCAUUCUUGAACCCACCCUUGUGUAUGUAAUCUUGUAUAUUUGGGUAGUGGUAUGUGAGAUCCAGGUCUCCAACAAUGAACUUUGUUGGCACUUGUAUUUUUGCCCCUGCCCAUGGUGCUGUCAGCUCCCAGUUCCUGCACCACCAAAUAAUGUCGAAAAAUUAUAAAAUUUAGUUUUCAAAUAUUUUCAAUAAUAUAGAUCAAGUCUAACGAAGCCGAUCGUCGAUUUGGAAACCGCAUCAUUGAAAACAACUUGGUAACACGGAGGCCUCUAUACUAUGAUAGUAUACCAGUCUAGUUUAUAUAUAUAUAAUAGAGCUCCUAUACUUUUAAAAGUACCAAGUCAUUGGUGCUUGUAAGUUUUUGGCCCUUGGAUUAAGGGAUGUGCCGUUAGGAUGAUGUGGGCCCCCUAGGGUUAAGUGGGUGGUUGGUUGAAUAGUAUAAUCUAACGAGUGAAAAUGUUCAAAGACGUAGAUCUAAUGGUAAAAAUUUACAAACACCAAGUGCUGGGUGCUUGUAAUCGGACUCUAUAUAUAUNAUCUCUAAAUCAUCAAAUCCACAUAUAAUGCAACACAAAAGGAGGAAAAAAAAAAGAAAAGAAUAGAUGGUCAUAAUUAAGACAAUUGCAUGCGACUUCUCCCAGAAAUUUUGGCACUGUUUACGGUCAACUCAACAAAUAAAUUGUUUUAAUUCAAAAAUAUUUAAAUCUAUUCAGUUGACCACUUGUAGUUGAAGCAAAAACUAUAUAUAUUUGCAUUUACACUAUGCUAAAUUUGAGCAUAUUUAAAAGUCAAAUACAAUUCAAUAUAUAAUUUAACAAACAUAUAUAUAUAGAGAGAGAGAGAGAGAGUAUCGGAAGUACAAAAGAUCUUGUGCUUCCGACUUUUUCGCCUUUAGAUUAGCCCCUUUAAUUAUUUCUAAUAUUUGGAUUAAUGCUAUUAUCACGUGGGGAUCACUCAAUCCUAUGGAUACUACUCAAUUCUAGGAGGACCAUAAUCAUCCCAACCGUAUAAUUCUUGAUAUAAAGGUCAAAAAAUCGGAAACAUAAUAGUACAGUAGCUUUACACUAUAUAUAUAUAUAUAUAUAUAUAUAUAUAUAUAGAGAGAGAGAGAGAGAGAGAGAGAGAGAGAGAGAGAGAGCUGAUCUCAGCUUGUGUUUUGCUCAUUAAGAUUCCGAGCUAAAAAAUUCUGCUCACGUUCCGCUCGUUUUCGAGCGAUCGAUCUCGACCUCAUUUUGAGCAGAAUACCAGAUAACUUGAAACAACGAGAUAGAUUGCCAAACCUAGGCAUCAUAGAACAAAGGAUUAAAUUUUCCUCAAUGCUCAAAGAGUAGCUAAGUGUUACAGCAAACUUACAGGUUCAGGCACCUAUAAUAGUUCAUCCCGCCGGUAAAGCCGGUUUUCUCGAACUUGCUCGCAUAGUAGUCGAGGUCCUCUUCCGAGAGCCAAGAAGGUAAUGUGAUCUCUUCGCCGGUCGAACCCCAAUCUUUGUGGGUUAGAGAAGAUCGGUGGGGAUUGCGCAUCGUCAAGAUCUUUCUCAGGACAUUCUUCGUGCCGACUUCUGCGAAUUCGGCUUCUGCAACUCCUGGCUCCUGCACAAACACCUCACAUUGUGAUUGAAAUGCCUCUUUAGAAAUGUAUAACACGUAUUGUUGUUGAAGGGUUCAUUUGUUUUAUCGGUCUGGUACAUUUGAAAAUGCUCUAUAUUUUCUGGAGGUUGAAUUGCACUAAGUAACGAGACCGAUUCGUGAACGAUGCGUCCAUAUAUAAGGAUACUAAAUUGAUACAGUUUAAAACAUACGGUAUUAAAGUGAGAAUGUGCGAAACCUCAGGGAUGGUGUUUGAAGUUACCCUUAACUAAAUAAAUGCUCUGUUUAUUCAUGUUAUUUUUGUGACAUUUGGGAGCCGUUUGGUAGCAUAUAUAUAGUUACAACUACACUACAGUUAUAACUACAUGCAAAUAUAAAUUGGUACUUGAUUUGAUGUAUUUAACUUCAAUUAUUGUAGUGGAAACUGCAGGAGGAGGUCCAAUUGCGACAGUUGGAACUACGCUCAAAUUGACCGCAAUUCCAACUGUUGCAAUUGGAGAAAGUAACUUUAAGCAAAAGAUAAGUUUACCUUCCUAAUUAUUUUUUAAACAAAAAAUAUUUUUUCUUUUUUACAUUAGAGAUAAUCUCACCAUUAUAUAUAUAUAAAAUGAUAAAAUUUUAAAAAUUAUUUCUCAACUGCAUACAACCAAAUAAAUUAUUUGUAGCUGCAUGCAGCGCUUUCCACUACAUUCAACCAAACAAAAUAUAUAUAAUUGCAAUUGUUGCAUUUUCAACUACAUACAUCUCAAAGACUCCAACUACACUGCAUUUGUAAUUAUAUCUACCAAGCGGUCCUUUAAUACUUUUUAAUGUAAGGAUGGUGAGAUUAUCUCCAAUUUUUUUUAUUAUUUAUUUCAAAAAUAAUUAAGAUAAAUAAGGCUGCCACUAUGUGGAUAGAAUUGCGUACUCACUCCAACUACUGCUACAUUUGAUGUCGAUACAAUAAAUCAAACAAUAGAUUUGCACGAGUAUGCAACAUUUAGAUGUCACUGAAACUACAACUGCAUACAACCAAAUAGCUUCUUAGAUAUAACAAUGAAAUUCACCGAGGAGGUGUUUGAUUUGGCGCAAAACAAAGUCAAAAAUUAUUUUGGAUAUAAAAAAAAAUACUUUUCUACUCGUUUGAUUCGAUGUAAAAUAACUUUUUCGUAAAAAUAUUUUUACGGAUUUGCAAAAAAAAAAAUUGAAGUUUUCAUAUUAUGCUAUUUUUCAGCUGGAAAUGAAAACUCUUUAGAGGAGAGUUGAUCAUUACGUACCCUCUCUUUCUCUUUAUAUUAAUAUACUUUUUAUGUAAUAUUUAAUUAAUAAAUAUAGAUAUAAAUUUCAAUUUUUUUAUAUAUAUAACCAAGCAAGUAUGGCUAAGAGAAUAAAGUCCUACAAAUUAAAUAUUAAAGAGGGUAGAAUUUUUUCCCACCAAAAACUCUUUUCUAGCGAAAAUUAUUUUGCAUAGUUUUAUGUUGAACCAAAAAAAAUCCAAAUUUCGAAUUGACAUUCGCUGGCUCCAAAUAUUUAAGCCCGAUUAUUUGAUGUAGACUACUCAGUCUUAUAUACUCCACAUAUUCUUAAUUAUUUGACGUGGACUAUUUUUUUUUGUUUUUUAUCAGUGGCGACAUACACAAAUAAUAAGCAAAUUAAUGAGAAGGGAAAAUAAAAAUAAGCUAAAUUACAUAAAAUCUUCUUAUCAAAAUUUGAUUUUUCAUUUUUUUUCUCCUGUUAUUUAAAAAUCUAUACUUUGCCCCUUGUAAAAUGAAAAAUAUUUACUUCACCCUCUACCGUUAGUGAUACGUUAAGGUUCCGUUAUAAAUAUUUUUUUAUGACAAAAAUAUCCUCCGCCCUAUCUACUGUUGCUUCGCCCUCCUCCGCCUCGCCGCCUCGCCCUCCUCCACUGCCUCGCCCUCGCCCACAUCUCCGUCCGUGCCAAUAAACACCCCCUCACCCUCCUCCGCCGCCUCGCCUUCGCCCUCGUUACCCUUGCCCACUUCUCCAUCCACGUCCAUCUCGAUUUCCUCCCUAUUGUCGCCAAAAUGAAGGGGUGACGAGGGUGCAGAAGAAGAAGGGGAGCAGGUGGAGAAGGAAACAGAAAGAAACCGCGGCCGAUCGAGGCGCGAACGGAGCCGAUCGAGACGGCGGAUGAGCAAAAUGAGAGAGGAGAAGAAAAUGGUGAGGAGAAAAAUAAUUAUUUUAUCAUCACAGUUCAUAUCGUACCUUACGUGAACAUUUUUUAUUUUAUAAAAGGGCAAAAGGUAGGUUUUUAAAUGACAGAAGUAAAAAAUAAAAAAUCGAGUUUUGACAGAAGAAUUGUAUAUAAUUUGGCCAUAAAAAUACACAUGGGUGAGAUAAUUAAUUGAACCUGGAAUCGGCAUAUGUAGUAAUUAUCCCCGUAGAGGCGCUUGAAAUGGUGGACCAGGCUCACGGAGGGGUCGCGAGGCAUGUGCGCCACGCUCGUGUUCACCAGCGCCUUCACUCGGUCCGGUCUAAUCAUGCACAGGGUCCACGCAAUUAGAGCACCCCAAUCGUGCCCCACCACAAACACCUACCAUAUAUAUAUCCAAAAUAUUAUUUUCUUAAAAUAAAUAUCUUAAAUUUAAGGAUUAUUAAUUCUAUACUUAUCACAUCAAUUUUUUUAAAUUUUUACUAAUAAUUUAGUUAAAUUUAACAAUGUUAUUAGUUAUGUCAUGCAUCGAUAAGAUAUAUUCUGAUGCUUUUUGAGAAAAUUACGUGACGGCAUAUUUUACAACGUUAAAGAGCGUUCUUAUAAUGAGAUUUUUUUGCAGUGUAAGGUGCAGCUCAUAAUCUGAUCGAGAGAGAACGAGAAAGAAUAAGGGUAGAAAUUAAACCUGGGGGAGUUCGAGGGCGUCAAGUAGGGCGACGACAUCGCCGACGAGGUGGAAAAGGGUGUAGGAGUUUACCGACGGCGGGGCCGACGUGUCGCCGUACCCGCGGAGGUCGGGCGCGAUGGCCCGGUACCCGCGGGCGGCGAGCCCGAUGAUCUGGUGCCGCCACGAGUACCAGAGCUCCGGGAACCCGUGCAGGAGUAGUAUCCCCGUCCCCGCCCCAUCCACGGGAC
rnacentral:lncRNA from 1 species